rnacentral:rRNA from 1 species
CCCUUAGAUGUUCUGGGCCGCACGCGUGCUACACUGAUGCAUUCAACGAGUCUAAAACCUGGUCUGAUAGGGCUGGGUAAUCUUUUGAAAGUGCAUCGUGAUUGGGAUAGAUGAUUGCAAUUCUUCAUCUUCAACGAGGAAUGCCUAGUAAACGCAAGUCAUCAGCUUGCAUUGAUUACGUCCCUGCCCUUUGUACACACCGCCCGUCGCUCCUACCGAUUGGAUGAUCCGGUGAGCUGGCCGGACAGGCGGACUGCAUCUGAUGCUCUUCGUUUGGAAGGCUCGCAAACCUUAUCAUUUAGAGGAAGGAGAAGUCGUAACA